AAUUCUCCAAAGCAGUCUUAGCUUUGGCCCGAGCAUCCUCUGCAGAUUUGGUCAGUUCUUCCACACGGGCGGUUAAGGCAUCAUUGUCUUUCUUUAGAUCAGCAACUUUCUGAUUUGCGGUUUCCAAUUCAACCACUAGUAAAGGCUUAGUGGUCCCAGCAGCGUAAUUCAUGCACACACCUGCGCGCAUCAAAAGUUCAUAACCCAUGUUGUACGCUUCACUGGGGGUCAUGUUUUUAAAGGGGGCUCGUUCCUCAGGGC
rnacentral:lncRNA from 1 species